GAAGGUGGCCUGUGAGGGUUGCUGGAGGUAUCAGAAGUGCGAAUGCUGACAUAAGUAACGAUAAAGCGGGUGAAAAGCCCGCUCGCCGGAAGACCAAGGGUUCCUGUCCAACGUUAAUCGGGGCAGGGUGAGUCGACCCCUAAGGCGAGGCCGAAAGGCGUAGUCGAUGGGAAACGGGUUAAUAUUCCCGUACUUGGUGUUACUGCGAAGGGGGGACGGAGAAGGCUAUGUUGGCCGGGCGACGGUUGUCCCGGUUUAAGCGUGUAGGUGUGUGUUCCAGGUAAAUCCGGUUCACUUUAACACUGAGGCGUGAUGACGAGGCACUACGGUGCUGAAGCAACAAAUGCCCUGCUUCCAGGAAAAGCCUCUAAGCAUCAGGUAACAUCAAAUCGUACCCCAAACCGACACAGGUGGUCAGGUAGAGAAUACCAAGGCGCUUGAGAGAACUCGGGUGAAGGAACUAGGCAAAAUGGUGCCGUAACUUCGGGAGAAGGCACGCUGACACGUAGGUGAAGUGAUUUACUCACGGAGCUGAAGUCAGUCGAAGAUACCAGCUGGCUGCAACUGUUUAUUAAAAACACAGCACUGUGCAAACACGAAAGUGGACGUAUACGGUGUGACGCCUGCCCGGUGCCGGAAGGUUAAUUGAUGGGGUCAGCGCAAGCGAAGCUCCUGAUCGAAGCCCCGGUAAACGGCGGCCGUAACUAUAACGGUCCUAAGGUAGCGAAAUUCCUUGUCGGGUAAGUUCCGACCUGCACGAAUGGCGUAAUGAUGGCCAGGCUGUCUCCACCCGAGACUCAGUGAAAUUGAACUCGCUGUGAAGAUGCAGUGUACCCGCGGCAAGACGGAAAGACCCCGUGAACCUUUACUAUAGCUUGACACUGAACAUUGAGCCUUGAUGUGUAGGAUAGGUGGGAGGCUUUGAAGUGUGGACGCCAGUCUGCAUGGAGCCGACCUUGAAAUACCACCCUUUAAUGUUUGAUGUUCUAACGUGGACCCGUAAUCCGGGUUGCGGACAGUGUCUGGUGGGUAGUUUGACUGGGGCGGUCUCCUCCUAAAGAGUAACGGAGGAGCACGAAGGUUGGCUAAUCCUGGUCGGACAUCAGGAGGUUAGUGCAAUGGCAUAAGCCAGCUUGACUGCGAGCGUGACGGCGCGAGCAGGUGCGAAAGCAGGUCAUAGUGAUCCGGUGGUUCUGAAUGGAAGGGCCAUCGCUCAACGGAUAAAAGGUACUCCGGGGAUAACAGGCUGAUACCGCCCAAGAGUUCAUAUCGACGGCGGUGUUUGGCACCUCGAUGUCGGCUCAUCACAUCCUGGGGCUGAAGUAGGUCCCAAGGGUAUGGCUGUUCGCCAUUUAAAGUGGUACGCGAGCUGGGUUUAGAACGUCGUGAGACAGUUCGGUCCCUAUCUGCCGUGGGCGCUGGAGAACUGAGGGGGGCUGCUCCUAGUACGAGAGGACCGGAGUGGACGCAUCACUGGUGUUCGGGUUGUCAUGCCAAUGGCACUGCCCGGUAGCUAAAUGCGGAAGAGAUAAGUGCUGAAAGCAUCUAAGCACGAAACUUGCCCCGAGAUGAGUUCUCCCUGAGACUUAGAGUCUCCUGAAGGAACGUUGAAGACGACGACGUUGAUAGGCCGGGUGUGUAAGCGCAGCGAUGCGUUGAGCUAACCGGUACUAAUGAACCGUGAGGCUUAACCUUACAACGCCGAAG
rnacentral:rRNA from 2 species